UACGUAGGGUGCGAGCGUUGUCCGGAAUUACUGGGCGUAAAGAGCUCGUAGGUGGUUUGUCGCGUCGUCUGUGAAAUUCCGGGGCUCAACCCCGGACUUGCAGUGGGUACGGGCAGACUAGAGUGUGGUAGGGGAGACUGGAAUUCCUGGUGUAGCGGUGAAAUGCGCAGAUAUCAGGAGGAACACCGAUGGCGAAGGCAGGUCUCUGGGCCACUACUGACGCUGAGGAGCGAAAGCAUGGGGAGAGAACAGGAUUAGAUACCUG
rnacentral:rRNA from 1 species